UUGGGCGUAAAGCGCGCGCAGGCGGUCCUUUAAGUCUGAUGUGAAAGCCCACGGCUCAACCGUGGAGGGUCAUUGGAAACUGGGGGACUUGAGUGCAGAAGAGGAAAGUGGAAUUCCACGUGUAGCGGUGAAAUGCGUAGAGAUGUGGAGGAACACCAGUGGCGAAGGCGACUUUCUGGUCUGUAACUGACGCUGAGGCGCGAAAGCGUGGGGAGCAAACAGGAUUAGAUACCCUGGUAGUCCACGCCGUAAACGAUGAGUGCUAAGUGUUAGGGGGUUUCCGCCCCUUAGUGCUGCAGCUAACGCAUUAAGCACUCCGCCUGGGGAGUACGGCCGCAAGGCUGAAACUCAAA
rnacentral:rRNA from 1 species